UACGUAGGGUGCAAGCGUUUGUCCGGAAUCAUUGGGCGUAAAGCGCGCGUAGGUGGCUUCGUAAGUCCGUUGUGAAAGUCAAAGGCUCAACCUUUGAAUGCCGAUGGAUACUGCGAAGCUAGAGUACGGAAGAGGCGAGUGGAAUUCCUGGUGUAGCGGUGGAAUGCGCAGAUAUCAGGAGGAACACCAAUAGCGAAGGCAGCUCGCUGGGACGUUACUGACA
rnacentral:rRNA from 1 species